GAUGAAGAACGUAGCGAAAUGCGAUACGUAAUGUGAAUUGCAAAUUCAGUGAAUCAUCGAGUCUUUGAACGCACAUUGCGCCCCCUGGUAUUCCGGGGGGCAUGCCUGUCCGAGCGUCAUUGCUGCCCUCAAGCACGGCUUGUGUGUUGGGCCCCGUCCUCCGAUUCCGGGGGACGGGCCCGAAAGGCAGCGGCGGCACCGCGUCCGGUCCUCGAGCGUAUGGGGCUUUGUCACCCGCUCUGUAGGCCCGGCCGGCGCUUGCCGAUCAACCCAAAUUUUUAUCCAGGUUGACCUCGGAUCAGGUAGAGAUACCCGCUGAACUUAAGCAUAUCAAUAAGCGGAGGA
rnacentral:misc_RNA from 1 species